AUCUUCCGCAAUGGGGGCAACCCUGACGGAGCAACGCCGCGUGCGGGAUGACGCCCUUCGGGGUGUAAACCGCUUUUCUUCCGGAAGAACGUGGCGCGAGCCACCUGACGGUACGGGAGGAAGAAGGACCGGCUAACUACGUGCCAGCAGCCGCGGUAAUACGGAGGGUCCGAGCGUUGUCCGGAGUUACUGGGCGUAAAGCGCGCGCAGGCGGCGGUGUUGGCCCGGCGUGAAAGCCCCCGGCUCAACCGGGGAGGGUCGUCGGGGACCGCACCGCUUGAGGGCGGUAGGGGCUGGUGGAAUGCCUGGUGUAGUGGUGAAAUGCGUAGAGAUCAGGCGGAACACCCGUGGCGAAGGCGGCCAGCUGGGCCGUCCCUGACGCUGAGGCGCGAAGGCGUGGGGAGCGAAC
rnacentral:rRNA from 1 species